rnacentral:rRNA from 1 species
UACGUAGGGUGCAAGCGUUGUCCGGAAUUAUUGGGCGUAAAGAGCUCGUAGGCGGUUUGUCGCGUCGGCUGUGAAAUCCCGAGGCUCAACCUCGGGCCUGCAGUCGAUACGGGCAAACUAGAGUGUGGUAGGGGAGACUGGAAUUCCUGGUGUAGCGGUGAAAUGCGCAGAUAUCAGGAGGAACACCGGCGGCGAAGGCGGCUCUCUGGGACGGUACUGACGCUGAGACGCGAAAGCGUGGGGAGCGAACAGG